rnacentral:tRNA from 1 species
GGAGGGGUGGUCGAGCGGUUGAUGGCUCCGGUCUUGAAAACCGGCAGGGCGCAAGCCCUCGUGGGUUCGAAUCCCACCCCCUCCGCCA